rnacentral:rRNA from 1 species
UACAGCGGGGGCAAGCGUUGUUCGGAAUUACUGGGCGUAAAGGGCGCGUAGGCGGCCUUCUAAGUCGAACGUGAAAUCCCCGGGCUCAACCCGGGAACUGCGUCCGAUACUGGAAGGCUUGAAUCCGGGAGAGGGAUGCGGAAUUCCAGGUGUAGCGGUGAAAUGCGUAGAUAUCUGGAGGAACACCGGUGGCGAAGGCGGCAUCCUGGACCGGUAUUGACGCUGAGGCGCGAAAGCCAGGGGAGCAAACGGG